rnacentral:rRNA from 1 species
UACGGAGGGUGCAAGCGUUGUUCGGAUUUACUGGGCGUAAAGCGCGCGCAGGUGGGUGAACAAGUCGGAAGUGAAAUCUUGAGGCUCAACCUCGAGGCUGCUCCCGAAACUGUUCGCCUAGGGACUGGUAGAGGCUGGUAGAAUUCCCGGUGUAGCGGUGGAAUGCGUAGAGAUCGGGAAGAAUACCUGUGGCGAAGGCGGCCAGCUGGGCCAGAUCCGACACUGAGGCGCGAAAGCGUGGGGAGCAAACAGGG